rnacentral:rRNA from 1 species
UAGGCCGUUUCUGAAACUCGUAGUGAAGUAUGGGGUUUAAUUUGUAGGUACGCAAAUAACCUUACCACAAUUUGAAUAGCUUGUACAAGCGUUGCACGGCUGUUUUUAGUUAAUUUUGUGAAACUUUGGUUAGGUCCAUUAAAUGGAUGGACGCCCUUACUUUAUUUAAUAUAAAGUAGUUCGCCGCUGUAUGGGUAGCGAUAUAAGGGACUAAGA